GGUGAUAUGGCCGAGCGGUCCAAGGCGCCACGUUCAGGUCGUGGUCCACGUCAGUGGGCGUGAGUUCGAAUCUCACUGUCACCA